AACGAACGCUGGCGGCAGGCUUAACACAUGCAAGUCGAGCGCCCCGCAAGGGGGGCGGCAGACGGGUGAGUAACGCGUGGGAAUCUACCCAUCUCUACGGAACAACUCCGGGAAACUGGAGCUAAUACCGUAUACGUCCUUCGGGAGAAAGAUUUAUCGGAGAUGGAUGAGCCCGCGUUGGAUUAGCUAGUUGGUGGGGUAAUGGCCUACCAAGGCGACGAUCCAUAGCUGGUCUGAGAGGAUGAUCAGCCACACUGGGACUGAGACACGGCCCAGACUCCUACGGGAGGCAGCAGUGGGGAAUAUUGGACAAUGGGCGAAAGCCUGAUCCAGCCAUGCCGCGUGAGUGAUGAAGGCCCUAGGGUUGUAAAGCUCUUUCGCAGGUGAAGAUAAUGACGGUAACCUGAGAAGAAGCCCCGGCUAACUUCGUGCCAGCCGCCGCCGUAAUAC
rnacentral:rRNA from 1 species